rnacentral:rRNA from 1 species
CAGUCGCCGCGGUAAUACGUAGGGUGCGAGCGUUAAUCGGAAUUACUGGGCGUAAAGCGUGCGCAGGCGGUUAUAUAAGACAGAUGUGAAAUCCCCGGGCUCAACCUGGGACCUGCAUUUGUGACUGUAUAGCUAGAGUACGGUAGAGGGGGAUGGAAUUCCGCGUGUAGCAGUGAAAUGCGUAGAUAUGCGGAGGAACACCGAUGGCGAAGGCAAUCCCCUGGACCUGUACUGACGCUCAUGCACGAAAGCGUGGGGAGCAAACAGGAUUAGAUACCCGCGUAGUCCCUGUCUCUUAACA